rnacentral:rRNA from 1 species
AUGCACUGUGAUGUACGCAACCCAUGCAUCGUUGCUAGCCAAUGGCCGCAAAACCUUACUACCAUACACUGCCGGAUGAAACUGUCAGCGCACGCGCACGCCCACGCCUGCGAGGCCUGCUCACACGUCGCUCGGCCUCCGUGUGCCUGUGCGCGUUGCUCGCCCGCGCUGCUCCCUGCCUUCCCUCCCUUAUGCGCUGCCCCGCCUGCUGCUGAUGUGCUGCUGCCCGCGGCCUGCUCCGCGCGCGCAGCCAUCCAGCUUGCUCCGCUGCCUGCCCGGCUCGUCCGCCUCCCCGUGGUCGUCCGCCGCGGUCCCUCGGUGCCGCCAGCUUGCCGGGCUCCCGAGCCGGCUCCUCCGCCCCCUGCUGGCUGCCAGCAGGCCCCGUCAGCACGCGCCCGCGCCGGCUCGCCGACGGCCCGUCCGGCGUCGUGCUCGGCCGCCUUCGCCCGCGUUGCGACCCCGCACCCGGCUGCAUCGCGCGGCCGUCGCCGCUCCUCCGUCUGCGGCCGGCUCGCCGCGCCCAGCCGCCUCCUACGUCGCCCCGCGGCCGCCUCCGACUACGCCGGCUGCCCCUCGCGCCGGUUGCGCCCCGGCAUCCGCACCACCGCCUCCGCCCGCGUUGCGAUCCCGCACCCGGCCGCCUCACGCGGCCGUCGCCGCUCCUCAAUCCUCGGCCGGCUUGCCGCCCCCGGCCGCCUCCUGCCUCGCCCCGUGGCCGCCUACGAGUGCGUCGGCCUCCUUGCGCCGGCUGCGCCCCGGCGUCCGCACGCGCCGACGGCUCCCGCGCCCGGCCUCCUCCCUGGUGCCUGUCGCGGUCCCGCCGCCGCGUCCGAGCCCCCACCUGCCGGCUGUUGCCUAGUUCCGCGCCGGCUCCGGUCCGCAGACGUGGCCGAGCCCCCGCUGCUUCGGCCGGGUGCUCAUUGA